rfam:Oryza sativa (indica cultivar-group) chromosome 1, whole genome shotgun sequence.
UUCAAGUGAAACCAUAAGUUUCCGCAUUCAACUUUGAUCGUCCGUCUUAUUUGAAAUUUUUUUAUAAUUAAUAUUUUUGUUGUUAUGAGAUAAUAAAACAUGAAUAAUACUUUACUCGUGACUUAUGUUUUUAUUUUUUUAAAACAAAUUUCAAACAAGACGGACGGUCAGAGUUAGACGUGGAAAACCAUGGCUACACAUAAA